rnacentral:rRNA from 1 species
GACGAACGCUGGCGGCGUGCUUAACACAUGCAAGUCGAGCGAUGAAACACCUUCGGGUGCGGAUUAGCGGCGAACGGGUGAGGAACACGUGAGGAAUCUGCCUUCCACUCUGGGAUAACUCCGGGGAACCGGGGCUAAUACCGGAUAUGAGCCUUGAUCGCAUGAUCGGGGCUGGAAAGUUUUUCGGUUGAAGAUGACUUCGCGGCCUAUCAGCUUGUUGGUGAGGUAAUGGCUCACCAAGGCGACGACGGGUAGCCGGCCUGAGAGGGCGACCGGCCACACUGGGACUGAGACACGGCCCAGACUCCUACGGGAGGCAGCAGUGGGAAUAUUGGGCAAUGGAGGAAACUCUGACCCAGCGACGCCGCGUGAGGGAUGAAGGCCUUCGGGUUGUAAACCUCUUUCAGUAGGGAAGAAGCGAAAGUGACGGUACCUACAGAAGAAGCACCGGCUAACUAUGUGCCAGCAGCCGCCGUAA